GAUGAACGCUGGCGGCGUGCCUAAUACAUGCAAGUCGAGCGAACAGACGAGGAGCUUGCUCCUCUGACGUUAGCGGCGGACGGGUGAGUAACACGUGGAUAACCUACCUAUAAGACUGGGAUAACUUCGGGAAACCGGAGCUAAUACCGGAUAAUAUAUUGAACCGCAUGGUUCAAUAGUGAAAGACGGUUUUGCUGUCACUUAUAGAUGGAUCCGCGCCGCAUUAGCUAGUUGGUAAGGUAACGGCUUACCAAGGCAACGAUGCGUAGCCGACCUGAGAGGCUGAUCGGCCACACUGGAACUGAGACACGGUCCAGGCUCCUACGGGAGGCAGCAGUAGGGAAUCUUCCGCAAUGGGCGAAAGCCUGACGGAGCAACGCCGCGUGAGUGAUGAAGGUCUUCGGAUCGUAAAACUCUGUUAUUAGGGAAGAACAAAUGUGUAAGUAACUAUGCACGUCUUGACGGUACCUAAUCAGAAAGCCACGGCUAACUACGUG
rnacentral:rRNA from 1 species